UGGGGAAUCUUGGACAAUGGGGGAAACCCUGAUCCAGCAAUGCCGCGUGUGCGAAGAAGGCCUUCGGGUUGUAAAGCACUUUUGUCUGGGAAGAAAUGGUUUGAGCUAAUACCUCAAAUUGAUGACAGUACCAGAAGAAUAAGCACCGGCUAACUACGUGCCAGCAGCCGCGGUAAUACGUAGGGUGCGAGCGUUAAUCGGAAUUAUUGGGCGUAAAGGGUGCGCAGGCGGUUUUUUAAGUCAGAUGUGAAAUCCCCGAGCUUAACUUGGGAACUGCAUUUGAAACUGAAAGACUAGAGUGUGCGAGAGGGGGGUGGAAUUCCGCGUGUAGCAGUGAAAUGCGUAGAUAUGCGGAGGAACAUCAAUGGCGAAGGCAGCCCCCUGGCGUAACACUGACGCUCAUGCACGAAAGCGUGGGGAGCAAACAGGAUUAGAUACCCUGGUAGUCCACGCCCUAAACGAUGUCUACUGGUUGUUGGGCCUUUUCUGGUUCAGUAACGAAGCUAACGCGUGAAGUAGACCGCCUGGGGAGUACGGUCGCAAGAUUA
rnacentral:rRNA from 1 species